AGUGUCUUGACUUAAAAUGCAGGGCCUUUACUAAGACCCAAUGCUAAAUUUUGCAGUCUCGCCCAUCAUGGCGGGAUU
rfam:Heterorhabditis bacteriophora unplaced genomic scaffold Scaffold1290, whole genome shotgun sequence.